CACGCUGAGAGCUCCUAGUGGAGUGACUAGAGUGGCUGGUGCAAAUGCAUACGCAGCGAAGUUGGCCACCUCACCAGCUCCCACUUAGAGACAGACAACAAAAGAAAAACUCAGGCUGGAGUGCAGUGGCGCCAUCAUCGCUCACUGCUGUCUCAAAUGCCUGGGUUGCAGUGAUCUCCGACCUCAGCUGCUCAAAUCAACAGGACCACAGGCGUAUACCACCACACCUAGCUAAUUUUUUUGUUCUGCUUGUUCUCUCUAAAUUUUAACAAACUCUUUUUUUUUUUUUGAGUCGCAGUCUCGCACUGUCGCCCAGGCUGGAGUGCGAUGGCGCCAUCUCGGCUCACUCCAACCUCUGUCUCCCGGGUUCAAGCGAUUCUCCUGCCUCAGCCUCCCGCAUAGCUGGGAUUACAGACGUGUACUGCCACACCCGGCUAAUUUUUUGUAGUAGAGACGGGGUUUCACUAUGUUGGCCAGGCUGGUCUCGAACUCCUGACUUUGUGAUCCGCCCACCUUGGCCUCCCAAAGUGCUGGGAUUACAGGAGUGAGCCACCACUCCCGGCCAACAAGUUCAAUUUUCACAAUUGAUUUUACUAAUAUUUGUAAUGUGAACUUUCAUUAAACAUAAAGCAUGUCAAAAAUGGAAUAAAUACAUCUCAAACAAAAGAAAA